GUGCUCACUUCAACAACAUAUAUACUAAAAACUUGGAAUGAUACAGAGAAGAUUAGCAUAGCCCCUGCACAAAGAUGACACACAAAUUUGUGAGAAGUGUUCCAUUAAA
rnacentral:snRNA from 1 species